rnacentral:lncRNA from 1 species
UGGAGCUCCCCUUACACAUGCACGCACAGAGGUCUGCUUUUUUCCCUCAGUGCCCUGAGCCCCCUGUACAUGUUUGCUGUCUGCCUCGCCGCCACCCUCUCGUGUGAGUCAGCGAUCUGGGAGGGGUGGUGGCAGGCUGCUGAUCUCUUUAGCCCAGGUCCUUUGGUCAGUAAGGCGCUUGCCUUCCCCCAGGGAUGAAUUCCUGUCAACAAGGUGGUUCAUUGACAUUCUGCUGUGAAGAUGGAAGAAAUCUGCCUGUAGCAACACAGCAAUGGCAAGGAAAGUCACCAUAUCAGCACAAAUCUGAACAUGUGCUGAAACACUCUCCCAAACUGGAGCUGAAAUCAGUGACCCUGCAGUUUUCCUGUGCUUUGGACACUCACUGCCAUCCUAUUGGAGCAUGCCAUCCUAAUUCUGCCAUCCUAUUUCUGCAUGUCUGA